GACGAACGCUGGCGGCGUGCCUAAUACAUGCAAGUCGAGCGGACCAAACAGGAGCUUGCUCUUGUUUGGUUAGCGGCGGACGGGUGAGUAACACGUGGGUAACCUGCCCGUAAGACCGGGAUAACUCCGGGAAACCGGAGCUAAUACCGGAUAACACCGAAUACCGCAUGGUCUUUGGUUGAAAGGCGGCUUCGGCUGCCACUUACGGAUCGUCCCGCGGCGCAUUGGCUAUUUGGUGAGGUAACGGCUCACCAAGGCGACGAUGCGUAGCCGGCCAGAGAGGGGGACGGGCCAAACUGGGAAGGAGACACGGCACAGAAGCCUACGGGAGGCAGAAGUAGGGAAACUUCCGAAAUGGAGGAAAGUCGGACGGAGAGACGCCGGGUGAGCGAAGAAGGUCUUCGGAUCGUAAAGCUCUGUUGUUAGGGAAGAAGAAGCGCCGUUCGAACAGGGCGGCGCGGUGACGGUACCUAACGAGAAAGCCCCGGCUAACUACGUG
rnacentral:rRNA from 1 species